UACGAAGGGGGCUAGCGUUGCUCGGAAUCACUGGGCGUAACGCGCACGUAGGCGGGUCCUUAAGUCAGGGGUGAAAUCCCGGAGCUCAACUCCGGAACUGCCUUUGAUACUGGGGAUCUUGAGUCCGGAAGAGGUGAGUGGAACUCCGAGUGUAGAGGUGAAAUUCGUAGAUAUUCGGAAGAACACCAGUGGCGAAGGCGGCUCACUGGUCCGGUACUGACGCUGAGGUGCGAAAGCGUGGGGAGCAAACAGG
rnacentral:rRNA from 1 species